rnacentral:misc_RNA from 1 species
AACGCACAUUGCGCCCCCUGGCAUUCCGGGGGGCAUGCCUGUCCGAGCGUCAUUGCUGCCCUUCAAGCCCGGCUUGUGUGUUGGGUCGUCGUCCCCCCCGGGGGACGGGCCCGAAAGGCAGCGGCGGCACCGCGUCCUGGUCCUCGAGCGUAUGGGGCUUUGUCACCCGCUCGUUUAGGGCCGGCCGGGCGCCAGCCGACGUCUCCAAACCUUUUAUUUUACCAGGUUGACCUCGGAUCAGGUAGGGAUACCCGCUGAACUUAA